ACGUAGGGUGCAAGCGUUAAUCGGAAUUACUGGGCGUAAAGCGUGCGCAGGCGGCUUUGCAAGACAGAUGUGAAAUCCCCGGGCUCAACCUGGGAACUGCAUUUGUGACUGCAUAGCUGGAGUGCGGCAGAGGGGGAUGGAAUUCCGCGUGUAGCAGUGAAAUGCGUAGAUAUGCGGAGGAACACCGAUGGCGAAGUCAAUCCCCUGGGCCUGCACUGACGCUCAUGCACGAAAGAGUGGGGAGCAAACAGGAUUAGAUACCCUGGUAGUCCACGCCCUAAACUAUGUCAACUGGUUGUGGGGAAGGUUCCUUCUCAGUAACGUAGCUAACGCGCGAAGUUGACCGCCUGGGGAGUACGGCCGCAAGGUUG
rnacentral:rRNA from 1 species